rnacentral:misc_RNA from 1 species
AACGCACCUUGCGCUCCUUGGCAUUCCGAGGAGCAUGCCUGUUUGAGUGUCAUUAAAUUAUCAACAUCUCUCCUCUCUCUGUGGGUUGGCGAGUGUUGGAUUGUGGAAGCUUUGCUGGCUUUUGUGGGUCAGCUCUUCUGAAAUACAUUAGCAGGGCCACUCAACUGUGGCUUCGGUAUUGAUGGUUGUCAUACCCAAGCAGCAGAUCAGCGAUGUGCUCAGCUUAUAGCCGUCUCUCUGAGACAAAAUUGACUUGACAAUUUGACCUCAAAUCAGGUAGGACUACCCGCUGAACUUAA